UAGUCCACGCCGUAAACGUUGGAUACUAGGUGUGGUGUCCCGAUUAACGGUCGCCGUGCCGAAGCUAACGCAUUAAGUAUCCCGCCUGGGGAGUACGGCCGCAAGGCUAAAACUCAAAGGAAUUGACGGGUCCCCGCACAAGCGGCGGAGCAUGCGGCUUAAUUCGAUGCAACCCGAAGAACCUUACCUGGGUUUGACAUCGACGGGAAAAGCUGUAGAAAUACAGUGUCCAUUAGGGCCCGUGACAGGUGGUGCAUGGCUGUCGUCAGCUCGUGUCGUGAGAUGUUGGGUUAAGUCCCGCAACGAGCGCAACCCUUGUCCUAUGUUGCCAGCGGUUCGGCCGGGGACUCAUAGGAGACUGCCGGGGAUAACUCGGAGGAAGGUGGGGACGACGUCAAGUCAUCAUGCCCCUUAUAUCAGGGCUGCACGCAUGCUACAAUGGCCAGUACAACGGGCAGCGAUCUCGCGAGAGUGAGCGAAUCCCUUAAAGCUGGCCCCAGUUCGGAUUGAAGUCUGCAAC
rnacentral:rRNA from 1 species